rnacentral:ncRNA from 1 species
AUCACCGGUGGGGAACCCCAUACGGCAACGGCGUAGAAGUAAAUGCUAACCAAUCCGUGGUAUCUACGCGACGGAGCAUCCACGGAUAACUCUAACAAGGAGA